CAGUGUGACCCAGCUGCGAAAGGAAUAAGCCAGGCCUCCCAGGAGCAUCUGCCCGGCGCUGAAGGAAGUCAGCAUUGCCAUCACAGCUUUAGAUUGAGGUCUUGUCCACUCUCCAAUGAGAUUAAAAGGGUUCGACAACACAGUCAUGGUAGAUAACCCAGCUAAGAAGCGCAGGGAACAGUACACAAAGAAGGUGGGAGCAAAGGCUGCACAGGUAUCGCUGAUGGCCGUUUG